GGACUUGACAUCUAACUUUGCCUGUUUUCUCUUUCUAUCUUAUCUUUAUUAAAGGCAAAUGGGAUUUUGAUCGAAUGUGAUACGCUGCCUCCUAGAGAUUUCAACACACUUCUUAUCAAUCAUUAUGAUCACUUGAUGAAGCACACAUCCUAUGACCUAUGCAGAGAACAAACUUUGUGGAAUUCGACUUUUCUCUUCUACCAUGUGGAUUCAAGAGAUCGACCUCAUAUCAUCCAGCUUAACAGCAAGUGUCCUUUUCCUUUUAAUUAGACACUUUAUUCAUUUACAUUCCAAA